UCCACUGUACGGAUAAAACCACAUUUUGUUUAUCCAUUCAUCAGUUGAUGGGCAUUUGAGUUUCUACUGGGCAUAAUAAAUAACAAUGCUCUGAACAUGCACACGUGGGAUUUUGGGUGGACAUGUGUUUCCAAUUUUCUUGGGUAUACAGCUAGGAGCUGAUUGCAAGGCCAGG